rnacentral:lncRNA from 1 species
AUUCUAUUUAUGAUGUUUUUAAAGUUGCCUAAGAGUUUUAUAGUCUAGUAGUUUAGAUAAUCUCCUAGGAGAAAAUAAAUAAAUUAACAAUAAAAUAUCUCCAACCAAUAUUUUCCAACAAAAGGCAUUACACCAGCUGGGGCGAGAAUGGAAAGGGAGCUGAUGCUCCCCUCACUGUAUCCGGAAUUAACUUUUUAUUUUUAAAUAUGUCACCCCGGGUGACAGAAUGAGCAAGAACAAAAGAAUUAGACUUCGACCGAAGGCAUGAGGAGACUAUAAUCAGGAGUACAACUGGACCACUGCUAGUUCUCCUUAAAAUGAAUGAAUAACCAACGAAUUCAGAGCAAGCCGGGGCGUGAGUGGAAGGGGAAGUGAUGCAUCACGAUGGGGGGAGCCUUCUGAUGAUCCCUCUUCUUCCUCUCUUUCCUCCCUGCUGCUGCAACAUCGCCCGGCUCACCUCCCAUCUUCUUCUUCUCCUCUGCUACUACCCGCUGCUGCCGCUUCGCCUCUGGACUACCUUCUACUCCUCCUGACUGCUUCCCAGCUGCUGGAGACUCCGCGACGACGGCUACACCGCCAAAGCAUCCUCCCAAGCCCAGCACCAUGAUCUAGCUCUUUGUCAAACACCUAAACUUCUCUCGGCUUCGGGUGAUGGCGUUUGAAAGUAGAAACUCCAAUCAAAUUUUUGUCUAGUCGAUGAUCUUGUUGUGCUUCGGCUAUGAGUGCUCGUGGUAUUUAUAGGGAUCGCCGGUAGAGCUGCGUGGGU